rnacentral:misc_RNA from 1 species
UCUCCGUUGGUGAACCAGCGGAGGGAUCAUUACAGAGUUAUAAAACUCCCAACCCAAUGUGAACUUACCUAUGUUGCCUCGGCGGAUGUACCCUGUAUAUCCGCCGGCGGACAAACCAAAUUCUGUUAUUUUAAAUGAUUUCUGAGCGUCAUACUUUAAUAAGUCAAAACUUUCAACAACGGAUCUCUUGGUUCUGGCAUCGAUGAAGAACGCAGC